rnacentral:rRNA from 1 species
UACGUAGGGUCCAAGCAUUAUCCGGAGUGACUGGGUGUAAAGAGUUGCGUAGGUGGCAAGUUAAGUAGCUAGUGAAAUCUGGUGGCUCAACCAUUCAGACUAUUAGCUAAACUGACUAGCUCGAGAGCGUUAGGGGUAGCUGGAAUUUCUAGUGUAGGAGUGAAAUCCGUAGAUAUUAGAAAGAACACCGAUAGCGUAGGCAGGCUACUGGGACGUUUCUGACACUAAGGCACGAAAGCGUGGGGAGCAA